rnacentral:rRNA from 1 species
UACAGAGGUCCCGAGCGUUGUUCGGAUUCAUUGGGCGUAAAGGGUGUGUAGGAGGUCAAGUAAGUCGGGCGUGAAAUCUCACCGCUUAACGGUGAAAUUGCGCUCGAUACUGCAUGGCUAGAGGAUUUGAGGGGGUAACGGAAUUCUUGGUGUAGCAGUGAAAUGCGUAGAUAUCAAGAGGAACACCAGUGGCGAAGGCGGUUACCUGGAAAAUUCCUGACUCUGAAACACGAAAGCUAGGGGAGCAAACGGG